CAAGGUAAUAAUUGUUUAAACAAAUCAAAUUGAGAAGUCGCAGGACAAAGUGAUAAAAAUUGCAUAUUUCCAAAGAAUGCACAUGGUUCAUUUUCUGAGCCAACGAGCCACAGAAUGACCGACUGUCUGGCGGACGGAAUGAUUGAAUGACAGCCAGCGGAAUGCAAGUGCAGCUGCAGCAACAACAGCAAAACGUCAACGUCAGCGGGGCAGUGGACAGUGAAUAUGAAUACGAAUAUGAAUAUGAAUAUGAUACCGAGACCAAACCCCGCUGCCCCGCCCCUUUUCGGUUGCACCGCCUACUCCUUAAGCAAACUGAAAUCUCAGUGUCAGCGAAUAUCAAACAAAUGCAACGGGAAUCAUCAACAAAUGUGUCUUCGCAAGAAUUUCAAAUCGGAGUUGGGGGAAAAAUCCAAAAACUGGA